AUUUAAAUAGUUUAAUUAAAAUAUUGAUUUGUGGUGUCAAUGAUAUGAUUUUUAUCAUUUUAGAUU
rnacentral:tRNA from 1 species